rnacentral:rRNA from 1 species
GUGGGGAAUAUUGGGCAAUGGGCGAAAGCCUGACCCAGCAACGCCGCGUGAAGGAAGAAGGUUUUCGGAUCGUAAACUUCUAUCCUUGGUGAAGAUAAUGACGGUAGCCAAGAAGGAAGCCCCGGCUAACUACGUGCCAGCAGCCGCGGUAAUACGUAGGGGGCAAGCGUUGUCCGGAAUGAUUGGGCGUAAAGGGCGCGUAGGCGGCCCGGUAAGUCUGAAGUGAAAGUCCUGCUUUUAAGGUGGGAAUUGCUUUGGAUACUGUCGGGCUUGAGUGCAGGAGAGGUAAGCGGAAUUCCCGGUGUAGCGGUGAAAUGCGUAGAGAUCGGGAGGAACACCAGUGGCGAAGGCGGCUUACUGGACUGUAACUGACGCUGAGGCGCGAAAGCGUGGGGAGCAAACAGGAUUAGAAACCCGAGUAGUCC